CUUCAUUAGAGAGAACCUGGAGGACAGGUGCUGCAUGGCUGUCGUCAGCUCGUGUCGUGAGAUGUUGGUUAAGUCCGCAACGAGCGCAACCCUUCGCCUUUAGUUGCCAGCAGUUCGGCUGGGCGACUCUAAACGGGAACUGCCGGUGUCAACCGGAGGAAGUGGGGAUGACGUCAAGUCCUCAUGGCCUUUAUGGCCAGGGCUACACACGUACUACAAUGGCCGGUACAAAGGGCAGCGACAUUGCGAGAUGGAGCGAAUCCCGAAAAGCCGGUCUCAGUCCGGAUUGGAGUCUGCAACUCGACUCCAUGAAGUUGGAAUCGCUAGUAAUCGUGGAUCAGCAUGCCACGGUGAAUACGUUCCCGGGCCUU
rnacentral:rRNA from 1 species